rnacentral:rRNA from 1 species
AUUGAACGCUGGCGGCAGGCCUAACACAUGCAAGUCGAGCGGAUGAAGGGAGCUUGCUCCUGGAUUCAGCGGCGGACGGGUGAGUAAUGCCUAGGAAUCUGCCUGGUAGUGGGGGAUAACGUCCGGAAACGGGCGCUAAUACCGCAUACGUCCUGAGGGAGAAAGUGGGGGAUCUUCGGACCUCACGCUAUCAGAUGAGCCUAGGUCGGAUUAGCUAGUUGGUGGGGUAAAGGACUACCAAGGCGACGAUCCGUAACUGGUCUGAGAGGAUGAUCAGUCACACUGGAACGUGGACACGGUCCAGGCUCCUACGGGAGGCAGCAGUGGGGAAUAUUGGACAAUGGGCGAAAGCCUGAUCCAGCCAUGCCGCGUGUGUGAAGAAGGUCUUCGGAUUGUAAAGCACUUUAAGUUGGGAUGAAGGGCAGUAAGUUAAUACCUUGCUGUUUUGACGUUACCAACAGAAUAAGCACCGGCUAACUUCGUG